rnacentral:tRNA from 1 species
GCCUUAAUGGUGUAGUGGUCAGCACGCUUGACGCGUAACCGAGAGGUCCGUGGUUCGAUUCCCGGCGAAGACG